UGGGAGCCUUGGACAACAAAACUGCUUCCCAUAAUACUGGGCUUUUUCCAGUAAGAAAAGCUGUGGGGAAAUGCAUGCUGAAAAUGUGGAGUGAUACUUGCUUUGAUGCAGCUUCAUCUAACCUCCCUGCAAACAAAUCAGAAGGAAUGGUCAUUGAAUAGCCAACGUCAUCUAAGUUCUUCUUUGCCGAACAGGAAGAAAGCUCAAUAAGCAGAUCACUUAGAAGUACCCACAAAAGGUGAAAAGGAAGAAGAAAACUGCAUCUUUAUUCUGAUUAAAAAAUUAAUCUUCAAACAACUUUUUGCGGUCAAGUAUGGCAGUUGGCAUCAAUCAUGGCACUUUAAAAAUGUAACGUGUAGACUUAAAAACAGACAUGGUAUUUCUAGGGCACAAGAGCGUUGGAGGUUUAUCAGGGUAAUGAAAUAUUCAGGGUUCCAUUUUGGGAACGUGAGAUGUUGUCAAAUUUCGGAGUCGGUGAGUCAGGAAGAGCUUCCCUGCCAGUGCUGAAACUAAAGAGGAGCCGACAGAAGAGGGAGGGAGAGGACACCAAGUUGUGACUCAGACAUGAACCAUUUUUGGCGCAGGAGACAUGCGCAAGACAAAAGGAUCCUACAGUGGGUGAUGUCAACAAGCAAACGCUUUGUUUGGGAAUAAUAAUAGCUGCUUACGUCUUGGCAGUGCCAGCUGAGAGGGGUGUUUGAUAUACUGGCUACGCCUGCUUAGCCACAUGGAAAACGGGAUAGUAAUUGAGGGAUGUUGUGACGCCUUUCUUAAAAAGAGCCGCUGAUUGCUACUGAUUGAAGCAUUGAUUGGUGCUUACUCUGCCUGGCUACGAGAGGGAAAAUCUUUCUCUGUUCACUCAGUUAUUUUGAUACAUGUCAUGGUUAUGGUUCUAAGCCUCUUAUCUUCCAUGGUGGAUAAUUUUUUUUAAAGAGCUGUCUCGUAUACGGUAUGUUUUACGCUAUCCUUAAAGAAAAAGAGAUGUCACUCGCUGGUGGGCAGUGUUGAGGCUACCACCUAAUAAUUAUACCUUUUUUACAUACGGUAUAUAUAAAAUGUAUAUCCACAGAAUCCAGCAGAAAAUUCAAAGCAAAAUAAUUAGUGCUGGGUGCUUUCUCAAAGCUUAAAGCAUGCAGAAUGCAUGUUAAAGCCUUAUGCUUUCAGCCCUGCAAGAGAGUCUUGGGUAGAAGACAUUGCAUUCAAAUUCUUCCUGAAAAGAGAAGCUGCAGGGUCAGAUCUUGCCUUGAACUGAUGUGGCUAUUAUUCUGUCAACACCAUCACCCCGCCCCCACUAUAAUACUCUCCCCUGGGAGGCCAACCUAGCACAGACUCUAACAUCAUCUUCACAUCAGUGUAAGAGUUUUUAAACAUUGCCUAAAAGUUGCCUAGAGCCUGCCCUGUGUUAGGCAGUUAACAAAUAAUACAAUCCAUAAUAUGGUUUUCUGUUUCCCUUCCAGCUGUGCACUCCUAUUCCUAUGAGUGACAUUGGCUUAUUCUUUAGCAAGAUCUUGCCCUUUGCCCUUUCACCUGUGCCUCAUCAUGACCUUUGCUUGGGAGCAUCUGCAAGGUACUGUAGUGAGCAUUCCACUUCAAGCCAGAACAGAAUCUGCCUCUUAACAGUAGGUUUACAUGUACAGCCAGGUGCAAUUGUUUUUCUUACACAGACACACCCCUCUUCGUUUGUGGCUGUUAGAUUUAGCUUUGCAUGUUAACGUGGGGUAAAGCAGCACAAUACCGAAAUGAGAGACGCCUGUAAUUGUGCAAAAUAAGACGUUUAGCUGUCCAAUUUUGUCACGUUGACUCAAAAAGGAAAUGUCAGCUUGUUUGGGGAUUGAUCCUCGAAAUGCCAAUUGUAUCUAAAUGCACGAAUCCCAAAGAUCCUGCUGAUUAUUAGUAUUAUUUAAUUUGAUACUACAGCAAAGCUCGUUGCUUAGGAGCUGGAGGAGGUAAUAAUUGCUACCCCACAAGCCUCAAGUCCCUACCACAGAGCUUAGCAGUAGCAUUACCCUGUAGUUGUAACUUGUGUUAAGGUUUUUGGAAAAUGCUUAAUUCUCUGUUCUAGAAAGAGAAAAUGAGGCACUUAAUUCCAUAUUGUUACCAGCAUUUUCUGUUUUGAAGAAUACGUAAAUAAAAACUCCCAACACACCAAUCAGGACCCUUUGUAGCAAUCAGCUCUGAAGCAGAAUAAACCUACCAUAAUUGUGUCUUUUUUAAAGCAAAAAACUCUGUGCUGGUGGAAUCAGAUACGCUGCAAGUGAUAUCUUUUUUGUCCAAAAUAUGCCAUCCCUGGACACUAACCUUAUUGGGUAAAAGAUUUGUCUAUCCUAAACUACUACUUACCAUGCUGGAUUUCUACUUGCAGGGAGAUUCCUCCCCCCUUCCUCAGGAAACAUUAACACUGAUUUCCUCCUUGCCCUCCUCACCUGUCAUCUGAAAUAAUACAGCCCAUUCUACCACAGUGAGGAUUCUCGUGACUCAUUACCACCCAAUUCUGCUGCCACAGUUUCUGGUUGCAGGAGCCAUUUCUUGCUGGGCUUGCCACCAAAGUGGUAGCAUCACUUUGAGGUUAUCCCUUUGGAGGUGGAGUGAAGCUAGGUGCCAUUUUCUGUUCAGUGUUGUUAGAUUUGAGUCCUCUUUAUGGUUUACCCUGUUGCAAGCCACCUUGGAGAUCAUUUGAUUGAAAGACAGGACCUAUCAGUCUUAGAAAUGAAUUAAAUGAUGUAAUGGUUUUUAUAAUGCAGACUUUGAAUUAGCAGUGGGCUCCAGUUUUUAAGUGGUUUUGAUUUGCUGAUAUAUGCUGGCAUUGGCAUUGGCUUGAAAGGCUUACUGUAAAUCUACUUCUGGAACAUUUACCGCAGUAAAUGAAAGGAAAUAAUGAGUGUGCCCUAGAAUAGAAAUCCACUCUGGAGUGCUCACAUACACUGUCGAUAGAGGUUGUGUCCACCUGCGUUUGGAAGUGUAAUUGCAUAGAAGGACUAAUUAACUAGUAUUAUUCUGCCCUGGUGUAUGGUAAUUAUAUUUGCAAUUUAUUUUUUAUGGGGCUAUGAAGGUUUGUCUGAGGCCAACGUUUUUCCUAAGGCAGCGGGACUCCGUAAGACAAAAUAAAUCAACUGCCAUUAUUCUGAGCUGUGUAAAUGGGCAGAGGGCCAGCGCUAAGUUUAUACAUCAUGUAAGACAUCAGUAAACCCAGCGCUGAGAGAUGUGUGGUAGAGCCAGCAGCUGUGUGCUAGGCCUUCUUUACAGAAAUUUCACACACACGUGGAUUCCCCAGUGGGGAUGUGUGGCUUGGGGAGAAUUCUGAGGGCCAGAUUUGGCCCCCAGGGCUGAGGUUCCCACCUCUUUUAUUAUUGUUGUUAUUUAUUGUUUAUUAAACUUGUAUACCGCCCUUCAUCCAAAGAUCUCAGGAUGGUUCACAGCAUAAAAUACAGAAUAAAGCCACAAAGUGCAUAAUAAAUGACAGCUGGGAAGAGUGCAGAGAAGAAACUCCAUGGUGCAUCUGCAGCAGUACAACCGAACGCCUUCAUCUGCCCCAACUGAAACAAAACAUGCCUCUGCUGUAUCGGGGUCUAUAGCCACACCAGAAUCUUUAACCUUCCAACAGCUUCACUUCACCACCAAAGGUGCAUUCCUCCAUUGUCUCCCAAGACAGACAGAUGCCAACAACAAAAUAAGAACGGAACAGUACAAAAAUCCCCCCUCCCCACAAAAACAUUUAAAGGACCUCUUCCCUUUUUGAUUACAAUAUUUCAGGGUAAUAAAUCUCACAGGUUAUUUGUUUUGUUUAUAUCCUGCCUUUCCUCCAAGGACCUCAUUUAUGGUUCUACUGCCUGCCCCCAGUUUAUCCUCACAAAACCCCCAAAAGGUAGGUGAGGUUUAAGAGGUAGUGGAGAUCAGUCCACACAGUCACUCAGUGAGCUCCCACCCAAAGGUGGGAAUCAAAGGUUGCCACAAAGGUGGGAGAACAGGAUCUGCUCUGAAUCAUGCCAGGCAGAGGCAGACCUCAGAGGGCAGCCUCUGUCAUUUCCUCCCUAGAGGUGGGAGGAGAGCAGCAGUGCCCCCUAUUCACCGAGAGGAUGCUGUAGAGGCGGCAGAUCCAGCUUCCAUUAUGGCAGUGUACAAUUCAUUCCUUGAAAGCCGGAUCUGUUGCCCCCGGCAGCUGCUCAAGGCGGUUACCUUACCUUGCCUCAUGGGUGGGACAGCCCUGCAUGCAUUACUGGGAUUUUUAACAAGGCAAUAAAAGGUUAGAGAGAAACACAAUUUGUUUGCCCCAGUAUAUGAAGGGAAAGUAAUGUCCCUUGGAGAAGGAGCAGUAACUCAGUUGCAAAGCACCUGCUUGGUUUAUUGAUUUACUUAUUUCCAAUAUUUAUAUACUCCUAAUGACAAAAGCCAUCUGGGUGAUUCACAGGUAAAGUUCAAAAACAUAAACCACAAUAGGAAACUAAAAUCUAACACAGAAUAAAACCAGGAACAGAGAAUGACAUCCAGCAAAACAUAUAAAAAGCAGCAACGAAAUAUUAGUGACUGAAAAUGCCUUCACCUGAAACCUAAAAAGGUCAUUGUGUAGGCACUAGGUAGACCUUUCUGGGGGUGCCAACACUGGAAAGGCCCACUCUAGUAGCCAACCUCAUUCGUUUCAUUUUGUUCCAUACUCUUCUGCAUUCAUACAUGACAGGCACAAUAUGUAAUGAACCCAGGCUCACUAAACCUUCCAUCAUUGUAACUUGAAGAGUCUUUAAGCUGCCACGUUCUUCACCUUGAGAGCUCAUUGGAAAGAAAACACAAUGCUGUAUUGAGCAGCAUACAUUUAGUUUACCUCGCUUAAAAAGAAUAUUGUAUAUAUAGUUUUGACGGAGUGAAAAACUCAUCGGUAUGAGCUUUGUUUGUUUGUCUGGUGUUGGGUUCCCAGCCUUACUUUGCAAGACAUGGUUCAAAAGGUUUCAGCAUCUCUUGAUGGAAUGAAGUGCAACAUAUGUUUGGAUAUAAAAAAGCACACUGACACUCCUUUGAAUAUGCUUGUGCUGUCUGGAUCUGAAAGCGUCAGUCUCUGAAAAUAGAAAACCUUUGUC
rnacentral:lncRNA from 1 species